UGGUCUGAUGACGGAAUAGGGAAUGCAUUUCCAUCUAUUAAACUGAAACUGCAGGGUUUGGAGUCUUUUCAGCUUGGCUGGCUUUGUUACAUUUUGGAAGAAUUGUUCAAUACUUCAUCUGUCUUUUGUCAACAUGAAAUCAGAAAAAACCACAGCUUUGUACUCUCUGUUUUCUACACUGACGAUAUUUGCGAGCGGGUGGUCCAUUUAACCUGUGGAUGCCGCAUAUAUAUCUUGCGGACGAGGCCUUUCAGCACACUGGCAGCAUCAGCGUCAGCUUUCCAUUUAUGGAGGUGGACCGCGAGCAGAGAUCAGAAACAGGAGACUGAAUCUGGCCCGAAAGCUUUUAUAGCACGUUUGACGCCUCUCUCUGCUGCAGUCGUCUCAGCCGGAGUCUAAUCUGCCUGAUCACAUGAUGCACGGAAACCAGUCAAAAUCCUGUUUUUCAGAUUCUGACAUCUCCUUAUAGCCGUGUCCACAUCUC